UUGCAAUGACAUUAGUUCCUUUCUGCAAAAUUGAACUCUGGUGGUAAUAUUGCCAAAGGUAUUUGUAUUCCAGUCCUUUAGUGCUGCUUUACAGGCUUUGAGCUUUCGACAUAAGAUGUAAGGGGGCGGCGAUCCAUGCACAUUAACAUUCCAAGCAGAUCUGAUAACAUCAAGAAAUUGAGGAUGAGAACUCCACAUGUUAAAGAAUCUAAACGGUUUCUUGCCUCUUGGUGUCGCUUUGUCUGCGUGUAUAUACAUUAAAGAAUGGUCAGAAAACAAAGGAGCACCAUACUCAAGAAGUGAAUCUGGGUAAACUGUUAACAAUUCAUGGUUAAUUAAAUACCUAUCAAGUCGAGCCAUUAUUUUUCUGUUAGCAGCACCUUGAUUACUACAGGAGAGCCAUUUACCCACAGAUUUCAUAUCAAACAAUGCUUUAGUGUCAAUGUAAUCAUUAAAACCUUGAAGCUGGCUUUCUGAAAGUUGUCUACCGCCCUCUUUUUCAUUUGUGUACCGAACAUUAUUAAAGUCUCCAAGAACAAUCCAAGGUACAUUGAGACAACCAUUUACAAUAUUAGUCAGGUCAGACCAAAGAGUAUUUCUUUCUUGCAUACUGUUUGAAGCAUAUAUACCAGUGAAAUUGAAUUGACAACCAUUCUUUUUGCCUCUACCUUAAGAUGAAUGAAUUGAUCAGUAGCAGAAAUAAACCAAGCAUUAAUAGAGUUAGGAUGCCAUAAGACCCAUAUUCUACCGAAAGUUUCAUUUGAGUCAUUGGUAAACAGUUCUACGUCCGGCCAUAUUAAAUUCUUUUGAGCUUGAAUGCGCGAUUGUUUAAUUUUCGUUUCCACUAGAAUAACAAUAUCACAUGCAGCAGACAUGAUUAUUCUGUUGAGCUCCCGACAUUUCUCCAGCUUAUUAAGUCCGCGAACAUUCCAGCAUGUUAUCUUCAUCAGUAAUAAACAAAUGAAGAGGUGGUAAGGUAUUCAUCCUACGACUUUGGAUGGACUGUACCAUCCUUUUUCUUAUCCUUCGGUUUUGUAUUUUUCUCCCGCACAAUAUCCUUACCUUUUAUGGCUUUAUUCCUAUAUUUAUCCACUUCAUCUACAGCUUGCAGAUUUUUAAACUUUAAAGUACCUUGAAUCAUGUGGUCUUGAUUGGCAAAGUUUGUUGAAGCACGAUAAGAUUGUUGCGGCACAAUAUCCUGGAUAGUACUUAUUGGAUCAGCCUGGCUAGAGAGGUUUGUUGGGGCAUGAGUUUGUUGAGAUAGAAUAUCCUUAUUGGCGAUGUUUGUUGUGGCCUGAGUUUGUUGAGGAAGAAUAUCCUUGCUGGCGAGAUUUGUUUGGACCUGAGUUCGUUGAGCUAUUGUGGACGGAUCCGAUGAUAUUGGAAGAGAUGAAGUUCCUGACUUAUUUUUGUCCUGUCCACUAGUACCAUGGGAAACCUCUGUUGUGGAAGACUCCGACAUUAUAGGAAGAGAUAAAGUUUUGGAUUUGUCCUUCUGUCCGCGGUGCUUUCCUUGCGAGUCGGAAUGCUCAAUAGUUUUCACCACCAUCGGUGCUACUGCCAUUAGAGAAGAAUCACUUUGUUACUAAGGCGCUUGACAUGGUCGAUAGACCUUUGUGGUUGGUUUUGGGGUUUGCUGACAAGCUCCGAGGAUCGCUGGAAAUGAGAGCAGGAUGUCGCGAUCUAUCGCGCGAGCUGCUUCGAUGCUGCUUCGUCGAAGUAGUUUCUCUCUGGAAAGGAUAUGGUGGAGGAGCAACUUGAGGGGUAAGGGUUGGGAGUCUUGCCUCAACCCUCCCGCCACCGUCGCCAGCCCUAGGGGCCAUCGCUGCCGUGUUUGAUCCCUUUUCUGGUCGCCGCUACAGAAUCGUCGUCAUAGGGAAAUGCCACCACUGUAGUAUAUCAUAUCGCCGCUAUAGUACCGUUGCCCUAGGGAGAUCAGGUUGCCGCCACAGUAUCGUUGCCCUUGGGGAGAUGCCGAUGCGUCGCUCGUGGGAGAAAGCCAACGCUACAGGAGUCAGAUCUCCCUUGGGAGAUUUGGUCGCUGCUACAGUAUCAUCGCCCUUGGGGAGAAGCCGACGCAACACUCAUGGGAGAAAGCCAACGCUGCAGGAGUCAGAUCGCUCUAGGGAGAUCUGGUCGCCGCUAUAGUGUCGCCGCCCUAGAUCUGGUCGCUGCUACAGUGUCGCCCUAGAUUUGGGCGAGCCUGCAGUUCCACUCGUGGGAGAAAGCCAAUGCUGCAGGAAGCAGAUCACUCUAGGGAGAUCUCGUCGACGCUACAGUGUUGCCGCCGCUACAGUGUCGCUGCCCUUUCACCGGUGCUACUUGUACACAAGUAGGACGGAACAUGGCGAAUAUGCGUUGAUUACCGAGCUCUCAAUGGCAUAACCAUCAAGAACAAAUACCUUAUUCCAAUAGCAGAUGAAUUGCUAGAUGAAAGGGAGCACAAAUCUUUACAAAGCUGGACCUUCGAUCCAGGUAUUAUCAAAUAUGAGUGUAUGAAGAAGUAAUACCGAAAACCACGCAAGCAGUUUGGUAAAAUUCAGCUGGAAAUCCAUCUGGACCUGGGCUUUUGUGCUUUGGUGACUUAAAGACAACACAUACAAUUUCGUCGUCUGUAAUUGUGGUAUUGAGAAUUGAAAUAGCUUCCAAAUCAAGUUUUCUAGUUGGCUCCACAUGAAUGUUAUUAGUUUUCCCAGCUUGAUUGAGUAAGGAAUAAAAAAAUUGCUCUGUGUGUGCUUUAACCUCAUUUAAAUUCUCAAUAAGAUUAUCAUCUUUGUCUCUGCAUUUGCUGAUAUGGUUAACAACCCUUCGAGUAGCAAUUGAAGCAUAGAAAAAUUUAGUAUUUGAAACUCCUAGUGUAAGCCAAUACUGUCGAGACUUCUGCUUUGCAAAACUUUCCUCCUGUUUUAAGGCUUGCAUGAAGUUAUUUCUGGCUUCUGUCUCUUUGUAGAUAAUAUUCUCAUCAUUUGGCUGAAGUUGCAGCUCAUGUUGCAAUGACAUUAGUUCCUUCCUACAAAAUUUAACUGUGGUGGUAAUAUUGCCAAAGGUAUUUGUAUUCCACUCCUUUAGUGCUGCUUCACAGGCUUUGAGCUUUUGACAUAAGAUGUAAGGGGGGGAUCCAUGCACAUUAACAUUCCAAGCAGAUCUAAUAACAUCAAGAAAUUGAGGAUGAGUACUCCACAUGUUAAAGAAUCUAAACGGUUUCUUGCCUCUUGGUGUCGCUUUGUCUGCGUGUAUAUACAUUAAAGAAUGGUCAGAAAACAAAGGAGCACCAUACUCAAGAAGAGACACAGGGUAAACUGUUAACCAUUCAUGAUUAAUCAAACACCUAUCAAGUCGAGCCAUUAUUUUUCUGUUAGCAGCACCUUGAUUACUCCAGGAGAG
rnacentral:lncRNA from 1 species